CUGGCAGAGUGCAGAUUGCAGGGGCACAUGCACAGAGAAGACGGGCCAGGGCCAGAGUAGAGAGCAGCUGCUGCUCCGGGGACCCACCUGGGGUGGCCAUGAGAGCUGGUGACUGGAGGCCGGGAGGACCCGUGACCAGAGGUGAUGGCACUGAGGGGCCCAGGGCUGGAGAGACCACCCCUCACCUGUCCAGAGCUGAGGCAGGAGCAGUGCUGGGGAGGAUGCCAGGUCAGGGGAGCUGGCCCUGAGAGGAGAGGGGGCCUGGGAGCCAGCACCCUGAGCCCUGGCCCUGAUCCACUCCAGCCCUGUGUAGCCCAACAGCCCUUCCCCUCCUUGCCCAGUCCCCUCCCCCUGCAAGGCACUCUCCCCUCUUCUCCCCCAGGGGCCACAGGCAGACCUCCCCUCUGUCUCUCUGAACCCUCCUCUGUCUCUCCCAGACCCAGAUGUUUCCUCCUGCCCUGGGGUAGACCCAGGCCCUGCCCCCGGGCAAAGUCAAACUGGGGGCUCCAGGGGCUCCCCUGCACCAAGGCCUGCAGAGUCAGGUUCUUCCUCCCGCACCACAGAGGGCGGGGCUUCCUGCCCACCCCACCCAUGCCACUGCCCACCAGCGCCAUCUCCCACACAGGGCCUGGAGAACAGCUGGCGCCAGCACCGCGAGGCCGCGGCGUAUCUGCAUGGGCGCCUGCAGGCACUGGGGCUGCAGCUCUUCGUGAAGGACCCGGCGCUCCGGCUUCCCACAGUCACUACUGUGGCUGUACCCGCUGGCUAUGACUGGAGAGACAUCGUCAGCUACGUCAUGGACCACUUCGACAUUGAGAUCAUGGGUGGCCUUGGGCCCUCCACGGGGAAGGUGCUGCGGAUCGGCCUGCUGGGCUGCAAUGCCACCCGCGAGAAUGUGGACCGUGUGACGGAGGCCCUGAGGGCGGCCCUGCAGCACUGCCCCAAGAAGAAGCUGUGACCUGCCCGCUGGCCCACAGCUGGCGCUGGCACACACCUGGCACUGGCACACACCUGUCCCAUGCCCACCCUGAGGGAUCAGGAGCAAACAGACCCUGCAAGGUCCUCCAGGCCUGGGGACAGAAAAGCCACUGACCCAGCCCGGGAGGCAGAACCAGGCAGCCUCCCUGGCCCCAGGCAGCCCUUUUCCCUCCAGUGGCACCUCCUGGAAACAGUCCACUUGGGCGCAGAACCCAGUGCCUUCCAAAUGAGCUGCAGUCCCCAGGCCAUGAGCCUCCCGGGAAUGUUUAAUAAAGGGCCUGGCCACCUCUCCUCACUGUGUGGGGUGCUCUGUGAAAGAGUGAGAGGAGAGCAUCUCUGCUCCCUGAGCUGCCUGAUUGUGGACUUUAGGGGGACACUCCUCAUCCUGGAGCCCACAGGGUAGAUCCUCCCCUGGAGGAGGUGCUGUCACCACACUCUAGCCCCAGAUGUCACACCCCCAAACGUCCUCACGCACCACAUCCAGGUGAACCCACACAGCCCACAGGGCUGGUUGGAGACCCCUGUCAUGGACAAGGGUACCUGCGUGCUGGAGAGCGCACAGCCAGGACCUGAGCCCAUGACACGUGGAAGCCUCCAAUGGAAGGUCCCCUAUGCUCCCAUCCAGCCAGUGCCCACCCCUCAACUGCCUGACUUCUGUGACCAUAGAUCAGUCUGGCAUAUUUGAAUUUAUUUAUUUAUUUUGAAACGGAGUUUCACUCUUGUUGCCCAGGCUGGAGUGCAGUGGCACGACCUCAGCUCACUACAACCUCCGCCUCCCGGGUUCAAGCGAUUCUCCUGCCUCAGCCUCCGGAUUAGCUGGGACUACAGGUGUGCACCACCAUGCCCGGCUAAUUUUUGUAUUUUUAGUACAGAUGGGGUUUCACCAUAUUGGCCAGGCUGGUCUCGAACUCCUGACCUCAAGUGAUCCACCUGCCUCGGCCUCCCAAAGUGCUGGGAUUACAAGCGUGAGCCACCGUGCCCGGCCAUAGUUGAAUUUCAUGGUCAGUGGGACACACAGCAGGUCCUCCACUGUGCCAGCUUCUUUCACUUACUGUUUUUGACACUCACAUGUACCGUCGUGGGCGCUGGUGUGUCUUGUUGCUGAGUGCCGUCCCGUCAUAUGGACGUGCGUCGUGGGCGCUGGUGUGUCUUGUUGCUGAGUGCCGUCCCGUCAUAUGGACGUGCGUCGUGGGCGCCGGUGUGUCUUGUUGCUGAGUGCCGUCCUGUCAUAUGGACACCUCAUGAUUUGUUGGUUCAUCACCAUAGUUGAGCAUCUGGGUUAUUUCUAUUUUGGGGCUGUUAUGAAUACGGAGGUAGUGAAAUUCUUACUCAAGCCUUCGUGUGGCCAUAUAUUUUCAUUUUUCUUGGAUAAAUAACUAGGAGUGGAAUUGCAGGGUCAUACAAUAGGCUUAACCUUAUACGAGACUGCCACGAAAUUCUCCAAAGUGGCUCUUCCGUGUUUCAUUCCCGCAGCUACAGCGUCCAGGGUGCUCCACGUCCUCACCCACACUCCAUGUUGUCUUUUUUUGCUAGGGGGUGUAAAAUCCUGUCUGAUUUGGUUUUAGUUUGCAUUUCCCUGAUGCCUAUUGAUGUUGAGCAACUUCUCAUAAGCUAUCGGCCGUUUGUAGAUCUUCUGAAAAGUGUCAGUUCAAAUAUUUUGUUCAUAUUUGGAUUUUUAUCUUCUUAUUGUCAAUGUGUGAUCAUUUUAAAAUAUAUUCUAGAUAUUAUCAGA
rnacentral:sRNA from 1 species